CCGACUGCUAUUUGGGUGAGAAUAAGCCAUGCGAGUUGAAUGGGAUACCUAAAGUUCCCAUAGCAAACUGCUCAGUAACACAUGAUCAACUUACCCUAUAGAGAAAAAUAACCUCGGGAAACUGAGGAUAAUGUUUCAUAAUUGAAUUGGCUUGGAAAAGUUUUUCAAUGAAAAGGAUAAAAAAAAUGGUUUUUAUCCGCUAUAGGAUAGGAUCGUGUUCGAUUAUGGUUGUUGGUGAGAUAAUGGCUCACCAAGCCGAUAAUCGAUAGGGGCCGUGAGAGCGGGAGCCCCGAGAUGGGUACUGAGACAACGACCCAGGCCUUACGAGGCGCAGCAGGCGCGAAACCUCCGCAAUACACGAAAGUGUGACGGGGUUACCCAAAGUGUUCAAUUUGAACUGUGGUAGGUGAGUAAUGUCCCCUACUAGAAAGGAGAGGGCAAGGCUGGUGCCAGCCGCCGCGGUAAAACCAGCUCUUCAAGUGGUCGGGAUAAUUAUUGGGCUUAAAGUGUCCGUAGCCGGUUUAGUAAGUUCCUGGUAAAAUCGGGUAGCUUAACUAUCUGCAUGCUAGGAAUACUGCUAUACUAGAGGGCGGGAGAGGUCUGAGGUACUACAGGGGUAGGGGUGAAAUCUUAUAAUCCUUGUAGGACCACCAGUGGCGAAGGCGUCAGACUGGAACGCGCCUGACGGUGAGGGACGAAAGCCAGGGGAGCGAACCGGAUUAGAUACCCGGGUAGUCCUAGCUGUAAACGAUGCGGGCUAGGCGUUGGCAUUACUGCGAGUGGUGCCAGUGCCGAAGGGAAGCCGUUAAGCUCGCCAUCUGGGGAGUACGGUCGCAAGGCUUAAACUUAAAGGAAUUGGCGGGGGAGCACCACAACGGGUGGAGCCUGCGGUUC
rnacentral:rRNA from 1 species